GUGGGGAAUCUUAGACAAUGGGGGAAACCCUGAUCUAGCCAUGCCGCGUGAGCGAUGAAGGCCUUAGGGUUGUAAAGCUCUUUCAGCUGGGAAGAUAAUGACGGUACCAGCAGAAGAAGCCCCGGCUAACUCCGUGCCAGCAGCCGCGGUAAUACGGAGGGGGCUAGCGUUGUUCGGAAUUACUGGGCGUAAAGCGCGCGUAGGCGGACCAGAAAGUUGGAGGUGAAAUCCCAGGGCUCAACCUUGGAACUGCCUUCAAAACUCCUGGUCUGGAGUUCGAGAGAGGUGAGUGGAAUUCCGAGUGUAGAGGUGAAAUUCGUAGAUAUUCGGAGGAACACCAGUGGCGAAGGCGGCUCACUGGCUCGAUAAUGACGCUGAGGUGCGAAAGCGUGGGGAGCAAACAGGAUUAGAAACCCCUGUAGUCC
rnacentral:rRNA from 1 species